GAUGAACGCUGGCGGCGUGCUUAACACAUGCAAGUCGAACGGAAAGGCCCAAGCUUGCUUGGGUACUCGAGUGGCGAACGGGUGAGUAACACGUGGGUGAUCUGCCCUGCACUUCGGGAUAAGCCUGGGAAACUGGGUCUAAUACCGGAUAGGACCACAUUUUGGAUGGUGUGGUGGAAAGUUUUUCGGUGUGGGAUGAGCUCGCGGCCUAUCAGCUUGUUGGUGGGGUAAUGGCCUACCAAGGCGUCGACGGGUAGCCGGCCUGAGAGGGUGUACGGCCGCAUUGGGACUGAGAUACGGCCCAGACUCCUACGGGAGACAGCAGUGGGGAAUAUUGCACAAUGGGCGCAAGCCUGAUGCAGCGAGGCCGCGUGGGGGAUGACGGCCUUCGGGUUGUAAACUCCUUUCGCUAGGGACGAAGCGUUUUUGUGACGGUACCUGGAGAAGAAGCACCGGCUAACUACGUG
rnacentral:rRNA from 1 species